GGUAAGGGAUGCCAGGAGGAGGUGAAGGCUGAGCUAAAGGGCGCUCUUGGAGUUGAGUCCGAGGCGUUGAGUGAGAGGUACCUGGGAUUACCGACACUGGUUGGUAGAUCGAAGGAAGGUACCUUCAAAUAUGUAACGGAGAGUUCAAAAAAGAAAGUAAGUGGUUUGAAGGGGCAGGGACUGUCCAAAGCAGCUAGAGAGGUGUUGGUUAAAUCUGGGCUUCAGGCUGUACCUACCUUUACCAUGAGUUGUUUUCAGCUCACAAAGAAAACGUGCCAGAACCUGACUUCGAUCUCCUCGAAAUUC
rnacentral:rRNA from 1 species